rnacentral:rRNA from 1 species
CAGUAGCCGCGGUAACACGAAGGGGGCUAGCGUUGCUCGGGAUUACUGGGCGUAAAGGGCGCGUAGGCGGACAGUUAAGUUGGGGGUGAAAGCCCGGGGCUCAACCUCGGAAUUGCCUUCAAUACUGGCUGUCUUGAGUAUGAGAGAGGUGUGUGGAACUCCGAGUGUAGAGGUGAAAUUCGUAGAUAUUCGGAAGAACACCAGUGGCGAAGGCGACACACUGGCUCAUUACUGACGCUGAGGCGCGAAAGCGUGGGGAGCAAACAGGAUUAGAUACCCGCGUAGUCCCUGUCUCUUAUAC